GCAUUGUGGGAAACGGACUAUUUCCAGCAUGGCGCCCGUAAAGAUUAUGAACACGGAAGUAAAAAUAGUAAUAAAUUAUUAUCAAAAACAGGCCUCAUCAAACCGGGUCAGCCAUGAUAUAUUCUUGGAUGCAGUUUGUGCUUCAAAAGGAGCUACUUUUCAUGCCAGCCUAUCGAUACUAUGUGGGAACUGGGAUUCGGGAUGCUCUCCCACUGGUAUCAUAUGCAGAUCAGUGGUCACAAGAACGUACACAACAUCAUUAAUGUCAGCAAUAUAUAUCUCCAACUUCAAACACACAGCUUGCAAAAUCGCUGAAUAUUGCACAAAAGCAGCUUCGUUACAAACUUCCAGCAACUCGAAAUCCACAAGCAGUCUCGUUCCCCACCCACUUUGACUUCGUAGCGAAGGCAUGUUUUUUUUGGGAAACCGUUAACAUCUCACAACUAAACGUAUACUACGGAGAUUGACAAGUUGAAAAAUAAAUUACUGUAAUCACUUCCAAUUUGCGCACUAAGUUAAACUCCAGUUCCAGUUUGUCUUUAUUGUUGAAAUGUUACUCUACACAUUCGCUUUGAAAAUAGAGGUUGGCGUGUUGUUGGAAGUACAUGUACAUGUCGAAUGUGUUAUUGUAAAAACUAUUGGUAUUGUGUUUUUAGUGCAGACAUUGUAUUUAAGUUUCGAUUUCUAGCAUAAAUUUAUAUAUUUUGUUAAAUAAUUUGCGUUUGAAUGUGAUUGUUUGUUGCUUACUUGCGAACUAUUUUUUAUGUGUAAAUAUGCAUAGACGCUAGUGGAUAUGUAAUCAGGUUACCAUAUUUACAACAAUAAAAUUUAACGGCUGUU